CAUUGAAACACUGGUUCCUGUAUGAUCACCGAAGUUAAUCAAUGUCGAGCCUGGCCAGUAUUUAGAUGGAUGGUCACUUGGGAAUACCAGGUGCUGUAAG